rnacentral:rRNA from 1 species
CCUACGGGUGGCAGCAGUGAGGAAUAUUGGUCAAUGGACGCAAGUCUGAACCAGCCAUGCCGCGUGCAGGAAGACGGCUCUAUGAGUUGUAAACUGCUUUUGUACGAGGGUAAACGCAGAUACGCGUAUCUGUCUGAAAGUAUCGUACGAAUAAGGAUCGGCUAACUCCGUGCCAGCAGCCGCGGGAAGACGGAGGAUUCAAGCGUUAUCCGGAUUUAUUGGGUUUAAAGGGUGCGUAGGCGGUCGGAUAAGUUAGAGGUGAAAUACCGAGGCUCAACUUCGGAAUUGCAUCUGAUACUGGUCGGCUUGAGAGUAGUUGCGGUAGGCGGAAUGUAUGGUGUAGCGGUGAAAUGCUUAGAGAUCAUACAGAACACCGAUUGCGAAGGCAGCUUACCAAGCUACUUCUGACGUUGAGGCACGAAAGCGUGGGGAGCAAACAGGAUUAGAUACCCUUGUAGUC